UCUCUCUCUCUCUCUCUCGCAAUUCUAUAUUUUUUUCUCUCUCGUUUUCUCGUCAGUCUUUUAUUGCGAAAGUCUUCGGUUUUUUGUUUAGCCCUCCGUUAUUUAUAUCUUACUACUUUCUCUCUCUAAAUCCAAAAUUUUGUUUCUCAGAUCAGGGAAUUGAAGGUGCAGGAGUGGAAUUGUGUUGAAGAAAUUAGGGUUUGAUUAAAAUUGGGAGCGAUCUAGGGUUUUGUUGCUUUGAAGGGCGUGUGAUAAAGUCUAGGGUUUUUUUUUUUGAAUUGGGGGUUUGCUUAGGUUCUUGGGGAAUUUGCGAAUUGGACUGGUUCUAAUGGUGUAUUUGUGUAUUUCGGGGGAAUUAAGAAAGGUCUUAAUGUGAAGAAGUUGAUUUGAUGGUGGCUGGAUGAGAACGAAUUAAUGGUAUUAUUGGGGAAAAUGAAAGUCGAAUGUUAUUAUGCAUGGGAGGCAACAGAGGGAAGGUGAGAGUCAUCAUCGGAGGAUUGUUGUUGUUCGGAAAAGUGGUUGCGACGAUCAGCACAUGCGGUCUGUCCCUUUGAGCACGACCAGGAACAGUUUAGCUGACGGUGGCGGUGACUCGAGUCUUAUUUCUACUGUUAUUACCAUAAUUUCUAGUGAUUCCUUCUGCAAGGUCCUCUGUAUAUCAUUCAACUCCCAAUUUCGAAACUACACAUUCGAUACUCUUCGGUUCUUUCCAGUUUCCAUGGCUAAAUCUACUAGCAGUAGCAGAAGAAAGCACCAUACAGAAGAAGAUGAAGAGAAAUACGACGACGCUUCAUCAUCAUCACCUCAAUCCUCUUCUUCCGAAGAGGAUGAUGAUAAUAAGCGAAGCCACAAAUGCUGCCGUGGCGACGAUAGGGGUCCUAGGAAAUCCUCUUCGAGGAAAGACAGAAAAUCAUCCAGUAGGAGGAAAAGAAAGGAAAAGGAACGGAGUAGUAAGCACAAAUCGAAGGAGUAUGAGAGGAGAAAGAAGGAUAAAUAUUAUUCGGAUGAGUCCGAAGUGGCAGAGUCGUUGCCUAGGUCAGAUGGGGAUGAUCAUGAUUCUGGAUUGGAGAAUCCGGAGGACGUUGUCAAAUGUAUUUUGAAGGAGUUUCCUGCUGUCUCCGGAGAUUUGGAACAGCUUCUACACAUGAUAGAUGAUGGUCAAGCAGUUGAUAUAAGGGGAUUGUCAGAAAAAACAUUGGUGAAGCUCCUGAGAAGGCUAUUUCUAUGUCUGAACCUUAAAGAAACUGGUGAUAAUAUCUUUCUACUGAAAUCAGAGGGCCAUCCUACAUUGGAGGUUUGUAGACCUGUCAUUCAUGGCUAUGGACAGUCUUCAAAGCAGCAGCUUGAUCAUUGUACAUUGGAGAACGAAUUGCUCUCGGUAUCACCAGAUGGCAGAAAUGGACCAGAUGCCAACAUGACUAAAUCAUCUGAAGGUGCCAUUGGUCCUAGACGAAGGGUAAUUGGCCCUGAAAUGCCAUCUGCUGAACUACUUGCAGCUGCAGCCAAAUUAACUGAAGCAGAAGCUGAGUUGAGAGAGGCUGAGUUAGUGGACGAUUCUGAAUUGUUUAUAGGGCCUCCUCCCCCCGCUUUUGUUUCUGAAGUUGAAUCAUCAAAUGAAGCAGAACGAUUUGAAGAGAUUACAAGAAUUAUGGGAGCUGAGGUGGAUAGUCCAUAUGAUAUUCUGGGAGUGAACAAGAAUAUGUCAGCCGAAAACAUGAAGAAAAGGUACUGGAAAUUGUCCCUCAUGGUACAUCCGGACAAAUGCUCUCAUCCACAGGCCCACCAAGCAUUUGUGAAGUUGAACAAGGCUUUUAAAGACUUGCAGGAUCCAGAUAAACGAAAAGCAUUGGAUGAGAAAAUAAAGCUCAAAGAGGAACAAGAGGAAUUCAAGGCGGAAUUGAAAGCAAUGAAAGAAGCUGCACACUGGAGACGUUUGCAAGGUAUAUCAAUGGAGGGUGAUGAUAUACUUUUAGCUGACAUGGAGGCUAAGGUGGAACCUAAAAGAGAUGAAUGGAUGACAACACUACCUCCUGAAAGAAAACCUGGGAUGACCAUGCAAUCAACAAAAUUCAGCAGAAGCUCCAAGGAGGGGCGCGGGGAUACUAGUGUCUGGACUGACACACCAUCAGACCGAGCCCAGAAAGCAAAAAUGAAUUAUUUGGAAGCCUAUAAUGAGGCUUCAGCACUUGCUUCAAAUGAGCAAGAAAAAAAACGAUCCAAUUCAGAUGCACAUUUGGUAGAUGAAUACAACAAAUCGAAGCGGUCAAAGUCACUAGUAGACAAGCAUCAAGAGCUAGCUCAAAAUCGAUCAAAGAAAAAAUCCAAGCAGGAACCAGUUAAAGAAGAAUGGGAGGGAAAGCAUCCAUGGAGACCAUGGGAUCGUGAGAAGGAUUUGACAGCGGGACGGCAAAGUGUGAAAUUGGAUGCUGAAAACAUGGCUCAGGGUUUGUCUUCUAGGUUUUCCUCGGGAUCAUUUCAAAGAAACUUCCUGUAGAGCAUUGAAUCAAGAAUCUAAUUUAUAAGCUGCCAGAAGUCCUGUAUCAGAUUGACGUAAGAUAUCUUUGAAGAAGUGGUUUUUGCGGUCGGCAACUGGUGGAGACUUUCUUUUUCGACAUAUUAAUGACGGAGAUUUAAGUGGGAUAUUUUAACAAAACCGGCAGCGAAGAGCAAUGCUGGCUCUGGGUUGAUGGAAUGUUGCCAAGACUUUUCAAAAUAAACUGGGACUCAAUGGUGUUGAGAGCAAGGAAUGCCCUAAACGCGGAGAAUAGCGAGUUACGCUGACUCAACAAUUCGAUUUGUUAUAGUAGGUCCUGUGAGUUCCUUGUCAUUUUGUCCAGCAAAGUUGCGGUUUAUAACAGAUGGAAUUACUACCAUCCCGUUAACUGUUAAGAGUUUCCAAGGGUAGCUUGAUCAUAUUUUUUUUUUCUGGUGUACUUAUUACUGGGUACACAUAAAUGAGUGGAGGAUUCAAAUCUAGAAUUAUUGGAAAAUUUUCAGUGUUAUAUGGUUUUCAUUUU